rnacentral:rRNA from 1 species
UGAGGAAUAUUGGACAAUGGGUGAAAACCUGAUCCAGCCAUGCCGCGUGCAGGAAGACGGCCCUAUGGGUUGUAAACUGCUUUUGUACGGGAGCAAUAAGUUUCACGUGUGGAAUGAUGAGAGUACCGUACGAAUAAGCAUCGGCUAACUCCGUGCCAGCAGCCGCGGUAAUACGGAGGAUGCGAGCGUUAUCCGGAUUUAUUGGGUUUAAAGGGUGCGUAGGCUGUUAUAUAAGUCAGCGGUGAAAUACCAAUGCUCAACAUUGGGGCUGCCGUUGAUACUGUAUAGCUGGAAUUUGGUUGCUGUUGGCGGAAUGUGUAGUGUAGCGGUGAAAUGCAUAGAUAUUACACAGAACACCGAUUGCGAAGGCAGCUGACAAAACCAAGAUUGACGCUGAUGCACGAAAGUGUGGGGAUCAAACA